AACGAACGCUGGCGGCAUGCCUAACACAUGCAAGUCGAACGAGACCUUCGGGUCUAGUGGCGCACGGGUGCGUAACGCGUGGGAACCUGCCCUUAGGUUCGGAAUCACUCCCCGAAAGGGGUGCUAAUACCGGCUAAUGUCUUCGGACCAAAGAUUUAUCGCCUUUGGUUGGGCCCGCGUUGGAUUAGCUCGUUGGUAGGGUAAAAGCCUACCAAGGCGACGAUCCAUAGCUGGUCUGAGAGGAUGAUCAGCCACACUGGGACUGAGACACGGCCCAGACUCCUACGGGAGGCAGCAGUGGGGAAUAGUGGACAAUGGGCGAAAGGCUGAUCCAGCAAGGCCGCGUGAGUGAUGAAGGCCUUAGGGUUGUAAAGCUCUUGUACCCGGGAGGAUAAUGACAGUACCGGGAGAAUAAGCUCCGGCUAACUCCGUG
rnacentral:rRNA from 1 species